rnacentral:rRNA from 1 species
CGCUAGCUACAGGCUUAACACAUGCAAGUCGAGGGGCAGCAUGGUCUUAGCUUGCUAAGGCCGAUGGCGACCGGCGCACGGGUGAGUAACACGUAUCCAACCUGCCGUCUACUCUUGGACAGCCUUCUGAAAGGAAGAUUAAUACAAGAUGGCAUCAUGAGUCCGCAUGUUCACAUGAUUAAAGGUAUUCCGGUAGACGAUGGGGAUGCGUUCCAUUAGAUAGUAGGCGGGGUAACGGCCCACCUAGUCUUCGAUGGAUAGGGGUUCUGAGAGGAAGGUCCCCCACAUUGGAACUGAGACACGGUCCAAACUCCUACGGGAGGCAGCAGUGAGGAAUAUUGGUCAAUGGGCGAGAGCCUGAACCAGCCAAGUAGCGUGAAGGAUGACUGCCCUAUGGGUUGUAAACUUCUUUUAUAAAGGAAUAAAGUCGGGUAUGCAUACCCGUUUGCAUGUACUUUAUGAAUAAGGAUCGGCUAACUCCGUGCCAGCAGCCGCGGUAAUACGGAGGAUCCGAGCGUUAUCCGGAUUUAUUGGGUUUAAAGGGAGCGUAGAUGGAUGUUUAAGUCAGUUGUGAAAGUUUGCGGCUCAACCGUAAAAUUGCAGUUGAUACUGGAUAUCUUGAGUGCAGUUGAGGCAGGCGGAAUUCGUGGUGUAGCGGUGAAAUGCUUAGAUAUCACGAAGAACUCCGAUUGCGAAGGCAGCCUGCUAAGCUGCAACUGACAUUGAGGGUCGAAAGUGUGGGUAUCAAACAGGAUUAGAUACCCUGGUAAUCCACACGGGAAACAAGAAUACUCCUUUUUGCGAAAUUCAGCAAGCGGCCAAGCGAAAGCGUAUAGUAUUCCACCUGGGGAGUACGCCGGCAACGGUGAAACUCAAAGGAAUUGACGGGGGCCCGCACAAGCGGAGGAACAUGUGGUUUAAUUCGAUGAUACGCGAGGAACCUUACCCGGGCUUAAAUUGCAGAUGAAUUACGGGGAAAGCCGUAAGCCGCAAGGCAUCUGUGAAGGUGCUGCAUGGUUGUCGUCAGCUCGUGCCGUGAGGUGUCGGCUUAAGUGCCAUAACGAGCGCAACCCUUGUUGUCAGUUACUAACAGGUUCCGCUGAGGACUCUGACAAGACUGCCAUCGUAAGAUGUGAGGAAGGUGGGGAUGACGUCAAAUCAGCACGGCCCUUACGUCCGGGGCUACACACGUGUUACAAUGGGGGGUACAGAGGGCCGCUACCACGCGAGUGGAUGCCAAUCCCCAAAACCUCUCUCAGUUCGGACUGGAGUCUGCAACCCGACUCCACGAAGCUGGAUUCGCUAGUAAUCGCGCAUCAGCCACGGCGCGGUGAAUACGUUCCCGGGCCUUGUACACACCGCCC